ensembl:lncRNA
GUAAAGAGAAUAUAUCCUCAGUCAUGGAGAUUUCAUCACGUUCCUGUAAUUCCAAUGUGGCAUUUGAGACAUCUCACUUUAAUCAGAAGUCAAUUUUGUCUGAAUUACUGUUUGUAAGGUGUAAAGUGACAGAUGAAGACAAAAGAGUGCAGCUGUUUCCCUUCAGCCCUCCGUCCUCGGGUUGGUCAUGGUGGUAUGUUUAUGUGACUGUGGGUUUAUCAGCACUCUUAAUUAUCAUAGUGAUCAUCUCAUGGAAGAAAAUGAAAGGAAAUAAAGAACAAAAGGAAGGAAAUAAGGAACCAAGCUUAAGCCCCAAAGAGGCUCAGUCUGGUUCAGAAGCCAGUCACAACACUCUUGCUGCGAGACCUCACACCGUGCACAUCUACUGCGGGUGUGGUGCCUGUUAUCGACCCGGAGUUAGCAACAUGCACCCGAAGAGGAGAGUCCUGGCCCCUAGCCCUGCCAGUGUAGCAGAAAUGAUGACGGAUGAUGAUGGCAGCAGCAGCCGUUCUUCUCUGCGCUGAACCUGACGACGGUGUUUCUUAUGCCACCAUCAGCUUUGCCAAGAAGACCCAGAAUAAAGCCAGGGAAUUUCUUAUUCAUGUUUUCUUUAAGGUACCCUGUAAUGGUGCAGAUGAUACUGUGACAUACAGCACUGUAAACGCUUCCUCAUCUUCUGCUGGAUAUUCUUCUUCCAGUGAUCUCUAUUCCAUCAUCAACAAACCAAAGAAAUAUAUGACUGGAUUAUGAUUUCUUUUCUUGUGCACUAUCGUACAUGAAGCCACCGAGAUAACACAGACUCCCUCUAGAGGUGGAGAGGGUGAAAAUAUUCCCAGA